GUCGGAAUAACGUUAUUCCGACGACAUACCGACGUUUUUUCUCUCAGUAUGUCGCUGAUACAACUUGUAAAAAAACAAGACUGUAAGAAGGUUUGUGGUUUACGAAAGGUGUUGCUUGGGACACCAUGAGUUACUAUUCUAAAGGGUGUGUUUUUAUUUUGAAAGGGUCCUGUCUUUUGGUGUUUCAAAAAAAAUGAAAAAAGGUUGUGUCUUUUUUUAAAUCAAUGAUUCAAAAAAGAAAAACACACCGUUUAGAGUAGUAAUUAAUGAUGUCAUACAUUUAAACAAAACUAAAACUCGACCUUUAGAUUUCUUAAGGAAGCAAUCUCUACCAUUAGAUUUAAAUUUUUACUUUCCUAAAAAAAAUGCUGACAUGAGCGAAAACAAAAAAUGGGUUUGCUAUUAUAUAUAGAUUAAUAAUAGGCAAAUGUUUAUUUUCAUUAAAAAAAAAACAAAAGACUGUGUAAUGAGUUGUCUCUUUCGAAAACGACGAUCCCAAAUCAGACUCCUCUCUUGCACUUCCGUCUCCGACAACGUCUUUUCCGUCACAGCCGCAUUUCGUCACCUACAACCCAGUUCGCCGUUGUCUCUGUCGUUCAAAAGGAACCCUAAAUCCGAUUUCACCUCUGUCAAAUCUAAGAUAAUUGAAAAUGUAAGUCCUAAAUCUAUGCAAUUCUAAGUUUUUAUGACAUAUUCUUAACAUGUAUUCUCAUUCCAUCGACUUUGAUAUCAAGUAAUCGGUUUUUGUUUUUAAUUUUGCUAUUCACUGUUUAUUUUUGUUAGCUCUAGUUUCCAGUUCGAUAACUCCUUCAAGUUUGAAUACAAAAGAUCGGUUCUGGGUUUUUCAUAAGUUUGAGUAUGCUUUUUGAUACCUAUUUUAAUAUAUUUUUAUUUUUUACAAAUGCAUGUUGCCACGUUGAUUGCGGUUUACGCCAACUGGGAGCUUACAAAGGUUAGAGGCAUCUGAUGGGGAUGGGCUGGGGUGUGGCUAUACAGUAUUGUAACAUACUUCCCAUAAGACAUUUUCAAGUUUGCUAUUAGAUACAUCUUGAUGGAAAGGCUUGGCUCAAUUUGUUUGAGAACAAGACUGCUUUCACAAGGAAAAAAGAUUAUGAAAAAACAAAAAGAGAGGGAGAGAGAGAGAGAGGCUCAAUGGGCACUUGCUCAAAGGACACUUCACGGUUGGUAGCCAAAAGAAGCUGUUAUACAGAAUUGUCUGAGAGCGCAGAGCAAGCCAAGAGAAGAACUGAGAUAGCUAGGCUUAGGAAGCUGCACACACUCUGGGGACAUGUGGAAUCAGUAGUGGGUCUAGUUACAAAGUCAUGGUCUCCACCUUUUUUAUCGAAACUUUAUAGAAUCUGAAUUGGAUUGAAGCAGAACUUUAAGUGUAAUGGAGGUUGGACUGUUCAAGGACGAUAUCUUCUGAAGCAAGAAACAGCUCCAGGCAAAUUCUUGAGCAGACAGAGCUUCUUGAAAUUGGUGUAGAUUACUAUGGUUUCUGAUAAUGUUCGUGGGUAUAGUUAUAAAGUUAAGAAGCAGUGAUUUAGUUUGUUUCCAGUCACUUCUGUUUUGUGUUUGGUCCAUUAGUAAACUUUCAAGCAGUGAAAAGGUUAAAAGUCUGGUAUGUACUCAGUUUUGACAAUGGAAUUUUGUUCCAGUUCAGAGUAAACUGUUUGGUCAAGGUUUAAGAACAA